AAACCAAGGUGAUAAACAUACAAACUUCACCCGCCAGGGAACUACGAGCCCCAGCUUAAAACCCAAGGGACUUGGCGGUGCCUCAAACCCACCUAGAGGAGCCUGUCCUAUAACCGAUAAUCCCCGUUAAACCUCACCUCUCCUUGUCAAUACCGCCUAUAUACCGCCGUCGCCAGUUUACCUUUUGAGAGAAGAAGCAGUAAGCAAAACGGGUACCACCCAACACGUCAGGUCGAGGUGUAGCGAAUGGAGGGGGAAGAGAUGGGCUACAUUUUCUGGCACCAGAACACCACGAAACCUGCAAUGAAAUAUGCACAGCCGAAGGUGGAUUUAGCAGUAAAGAGGGAAAAGAGAGCCCU
rnacentral:rRNA from 1 species